CGGGGCGUGCUACUUGCGAUCUCCAGCUGGGGAGCGCGGGAUCAGUCCAGGCCUCUCACCUCUGCCGCUGCCCACGGCAUCUGGAAACUCAUCAGAAGGGUCUCUGUGUAAUUCAGACUGGCCUUGAACUCACUAUGUAAUCCAAGCUGGCCUCAAAUUUGAAGUGAUCAUCCUACCUCAACCUCCCCAUACUGCAAUUAUAGGCAUACACCUUCUUCUUGGGCCACAAGCUACUACCACGAAGCUGAGCAUGCUGGAUACUCCAUGGAUCAUGUAGACAGCACAGUUCACCACAGCAUGCUUGUCUGUGACCUUCAGAAUCUCCUAGCCUCAGGGAGGCUGACUUUUACCACCUUUCUCCAUGACUAAGACAUAGUGGCUAAAACCCAGAUAUGGAACAGCUUUCUCCACCUCAAGCCUCAGAGAAGGGCCAUGGGUACAGACCCCAGGGUUUACAGUGCCCCUCCCAUCCUAGACCUCAGAUCCUCCCUCCUGAGUCAUGGUGUCAUCUCAAGGCUGAGGAGGGGUCCAGGGCCUCUGGGCACAGUGCCCAGCGUGGGUGGGAUGGGGAGACAGGGAGGCAGGCUUCCUGGGUCUGCAUGUGAGGACAAACAGCAGGCUUUGAGGCCUUGGAAAAUCCCGCCCCGGGAUUCCAGGCCCUGUCGGCGUCAUUGCCUUUUGACUAUUGUCCCUGUCGGAAAUGGGCCCAGCCCCCGGCUAGCAGGGACAGAGCAACCAUUGUGAGGUCCCACCAGGCUCAAUGCCCCCUUGUUCACACUCAGGGGCCCCUAGCAAGACUUGGAGGCCAGUUCCUCUAGUUGCUGAGUGGAAAGAAAGGACCUGCCUCCAGCCUUCGCUGGGUGGGGCAGGGUGGGGCUGGAGGGGUAGCCCCUCCCCCACCACACUGUACCCCAGUAGCCAGAAUCCUGGAGAGUAAUUGCCACCAAUGCAGCUUUUAUUUACAAAUCACUGUGCUAGGAAGUUCAGCGGUUAAGAAACCAGACAUAGCCAAUCACUAUUUACAAACCAGGUGACCUUGGGAAAGUCACUUCCUUUUCUCUGGAUUAGGCUCUUGGAAAAACAAUAGCUAAUAUUUACUGGUUGUUUACUCCAUGCCAGGCACCGCUGGAAACACUUUUAUGUAUACAUACUCAUGUAAUGGCAACAUUAUGAAAGAGAUAGUUUUUUCUCAUUUAUAAAUAAAAACACCUGGGGACAGAAAGAUUAAGUAACUUGCCAGCUCUUAAAAGUUAACACCAGGCCAGGCAUCAUGGGGAGUACCUAUAAUCCCAGUACUUGGCAGGCUGAGUCAGGAGAAUUGCUGCAAGUUCAAGAAUUGCUCAUGACAGUGAGACCUUGUCUUUUUUUGUUGUUGUUGUCUUUUUCUUUUUUUAUCGGUACCAGGGAUUGAACUCACAACCACACACUUGCAAGGCAGACGCUUAUGCCAAUGAGCUAAAUCCCCAGCCCCGAGACCUUGUCUUAAAAAGUAAAUAAAUACAUACCUGAGGAAAAAAUCUAAA